rnacentral:rRNA from 1 species
UACGAAGGGGGCUAGCGUUGCUCGGAAUCACUGGGCGUAAAGCGCACGUAGGCGGUUCUUUAAGUCAGGGGUGAAAUCCUGGAGCUCAACUCCAGAACUGCCUUUGAUACUGAGGAUCUUGAGUCCGGGAGAGGUGAGUGGAACUCCGAGUGUAGAGGUGAAAUUCGUAGAUAUUCGGAAGAACACCAGUGGCGAAGGCGGCUCACUGGCCCGGUACUGACGCUGAGGUGCGAAAGCGUGGGGAGCAAACAGG